rnacentral:lncRNA from 1 species
GAGGCCCAGGCCUCCCGGUGCACACUGACACACCGCCGUCCGCGGGCUGAGCUUCAGUGACACCGAAGGGCACUGGCCAACAUGUCAAAACAGUUUUGAUUCCAUGAACCAAAGGGCGCACAAGGUCUAUUGCAAGCUCAGGUGAAGUCGUGGGACUCCAAAGGUAGUGGCUUUCUUGCUGCUGGUCGAUUUGCAUUACAGAGGCCGUUUACUUUCAAUUCCACUUUUACAAAAGUAGUCAAGCUCUGUAUUUCACAGUUUGCAGGUAUGACAUGGGAUUCCAGUGAUUCAAACAGCACAGUACAAAUACUGCAUAUACUUCUGCCAAAUUUGUCUCAGAUGGACUAGCUGCUAAGGAAGAAUCUAUAGCAUGACUGAGCUAACAGAGAGUGUGUUACCUUUCCAAUAGGUAAUCCCUCCAUUUGCAUGCCGUGUUCAAUGAUAGGAAAGAGGAGUUGAAUUUCUGUCAUUUUUCUGGACUUCAGCUUAAAGGUCUAUAUUGUCAGUUCAAAAAUAUAUGAAGUGAACACUAUUUCUUGUUAGCCAAUAGUUAUUGUUAUAAUAAAAUUAUUUUCAUGGUCAUUGAAAA